rnacentral:lncRNA from 1 species
ACGCGCCUGCCUUGCUGCCAACUUAGCCAAAGUGGCUGAGGGGCCUCCGCCCAGCUCGGGGGAGAGCGGCGCCGGCGGAAGGGCGGGGCGAGAGCCCUGGACAUCAGCUCCUGGGACAAAAAGACAAGCAACUGGUAGCCACAUCCCUGUGAACGGCCAAGUCUGAAACAAAAUGGUAGUAGGACUUUUUUUUUUCCAAAAUAAGUUAAUUUCCACCCAAAAUAAUGACGACAAGGAAGACUGAGGGAAGGAAGGACAUUCUAGAACUUUGAUGAAGGCUGAGUAAUGCAGCUUACAUAACUGAAGAAGCAUUUCAGCCAGAGAAAAGGGCACAAAGGGGACCAGGCCAAAGCUUUUGUAAUUUACAGAGAGCAUUUGUCACUCCGGAAGUGGUAUAGGAGUGUGUUACCACCUACUCGACCCAAAACGGACCUGGUGCAAACAACUCCAAUGAGUGUCACUGGGAUAGGAGGGAGAAUGCCGGGUCACAAUGGGUCGGGGGACAGCGUGGGUGUAGAUUUGCUAUGAAGUUCGAGGUCCGUGCUGGAGGGCUGCGGUUAGAGCUGAGAAGUAAGCAGUGGCCCUCCCUUCGGUGCCGCACAGAGAUGUCCACCGACCUUCCCCUCCUGCGUGCCUGGAGCGCUAUCCUGGGCAGCCGCAGGACUGUGUGUCGCCCCCUCCCUCAGCGCUCACCCGGAGCGCCCGCGUCUCCUUCGCUUGCGGUUUCUGGUCGGCUCCCAGCUGGCCCAGACUUGCUCUAAAGUAGGAGGAACCGCUGUCGAGCGAAAAGUGCACACCGGAGUUCCAGGUGGACGCGGGAACACCGGCGAGCGACGGCAGCCGGGUCAGCGCGCGUCGUGUGGCCGGCCGCGCGGACCAAGCCGGCUUUGUGCCGAGCGUCCGACCUCCCGGGCAGGCGGCCGCUAUUGUUCCCGCGGGCGGCCGGAGUUCUGAGACUGGAAAACACACCAGCCUCCUGCUUACAGUGACCCUAAGCACCAACAAAGCAGGAAGGGCAGAGGAUUCAUCCAUCAGGCCUUGUGCUAUCCAUCCAGACUUUCUGAGAGAGAAAUCUACAAGAGCCAGCCCUUAAAAGUGUGGCUUAGUUUCUCAAAGAAGGACCAAAGUUUUGUCAAGAACACCCAGAUGAAGACCUUCCUAGACCUGUAAACUGGGAUUACCAAGUUCUUGACUUCACAAGGAAGUUUCAACCAAUUCUGAUGGAACAACCAGAGAGGCCCAAAUGACUGCCACCCAUGAGCCAAGGACCUGAUCUCUUUCCUUUAGACCUAAUACUCUACCGGAGAUCCACAACCUUCCUAAUCCCCACCCCCUCCUCGUCCCGCCCCCGCGCCUCAAAAACUAUGGAGAAAAAGAAGGUGUGCCCAAGGCUGGACCGAAGUCAUCCUGCCCCUUCUUCAAAAGAGAGACACCUCCCAAGGCCAACGCCCUCCGGAGGGGCCCAGGUGCUCCUCCCUUCUGGCAUCUAUUCCGUCUGGCAUCUAUUCCGUCUGGCAUCUAUUCCUCUGCAAAGGAUCAGAAAGGAAGCCGCUGGCUCAAUGGAUUCUGGAUUUCGGGUAGACCUGACUGCUUUGGGGCAUCCUCAAUCGGGCGGUGAAGCCUCUGGGGGCAGAGGAGCGUCGUGGGAGAGGAGCGUCGUGGGAGAAAGACAAGCUAGGCUGCUGCUUCCCUACCCAUGCCAACUUCCCGGGUCUCGUCUUGAAACAAGAGCAGAGGCCUGAGACCCGGGCGCCAUUGCUGGCCAGGCUCCCCUCCCCCACACUCCUUUCUUUGCUUCUCGAAGACCCGGGAGGGAGGAGGCGGCGAGCGCCUCGGUGGAUAGAGCUGCUAUUGUGACCUUCCCGGGCUAAGCGGGGAACCCAGCGGAGUGUGUACUGCCCGCGGUGGCGGGGGAGGAGGUGACUGUGUGCAAGCCUCGAGUGCAGAGGGGGUGGCACCCGGGAAUAAAUAAAGGCUUGCAACCUCGGGCACUUGGACCCUUCGGAGAGCGUUUGGUUGUGUUUAGACUUGGGUGCUUCCUAACACUAAUUGCAGGCUCAAGAGGAGCGGAAUUUAUGGCGAAGGCCAAGGCGGCUUGUUUAUAAUUUAUGAAGUUUUAAAUGGUUGUGCCGCGGGCCCAGCUCUCUCCGGCGGGCGGCCGCGUGGGAGUGUGCCCUCCCAGAACUCGCCGCCGCCCCCACCCACGCUAGGAGUGAGUGUGCCUGUCACGUGACUCGCGUUGGUGGCAGGAAAGAACCAAGCAAUUCUCUGAAGUCUCCAGAACUUCAGAAGGUAGGCGAAGGCGGCAGGUUUGGUCGAAGCGACCCCUCCCCCUUCUUCCAACAUCCUCCCUCCACCGCCGGGCCUGUGAGGUUGCGGCUGCCUAGACGGUGGGAACCCCCAACCUGACACUUCCUUAGAGCCUAUGUGUGAGAGGAAGCUGAUGUCAGCCGGGCUAGACACUGUUUAAAGUAAUCCAUGAAACCCUAAGCCACAGAUGACGCUUGGGGUAUUGCAGACACCCGCAGACUCAGCAGAUACUCCUGUGGUAACACACCGCGCUGGGAAACGCCUGGAGCCAUGAUGCAUUAUGUAUUUUUAUUAUUAUUUAUGGUAUGAAGAGGAGAUGAGAGAAACCGGGCUGAAUCUAAACAGCCUGACAAUUCAUCUAUUUAAUAUUUAGCCAGUUAAGAAAGGUGGCUGUGGUUCCCUACGAGGCAGCUAGCAUUUCUUUGAUUUCCGUAAUAGCUUAAAAAAUAAUUUCUUACAAUUAUAAAUUCUGUCUAGGAAUGCAAAUUUCAGAGAAAACAAUGUUAAGCCUUGAGAGUGGGUAAAAUAUGCCUUCGAUUGAAGUCAUUUAUUCUGUUGAUACAAUUCUACAACAUAUAUACUUUAAACUUGCUCAGAUAGAGUGAAAUUUAGCAAAAGGAUAACCCCUCCCACCCCCAGCCUAACAUGCCAUUUUUAAAACAGCACAAAGGAACAAGGAAACUAAAUAUUCUUUUGAGCCAUCAUUACUGAGCGAAACACAAACAUCCAAAUAGAAAACGAUUGCUGUUGCACCAGAAGAGUAGAAGUUAUCUCCACACAAUGGGAAUUUCACCUCGUGUCACCAGGCUGGUAGUGGGAGUUGCAUAUUUGCCAAACCAACUAGAGAUGCGUGGGUGGACUUUGCUGAAAUACAAAAUAAUUGAACCUUGUCUGAAGGCCUUUUUCCAAGUGCUCCCUUCUAUAGAAGUGGGUGUAAGUGCUCGACCCUUCCUAGAGCCACACUAAUAAUAUUUACAAAACGAUUAUAAAUUCUGUAGACUAUUCGCCCAUUUUGCACAAAGAAACAGGAGUAAGCAAGGUGUUUAUACGUGUUGUGUUCUAUUAAUGAACCUUUCGUUAUUUUACAUUGUGAAGAAUGUUUGUUUUCUUUAAAAGUGAACUGCUGACCAC